rnacentral:tRNA from 1 species
GUAUUAAUAUUUUAAAUAAAAAUAUUGAUCUUGUAAAUCAAUGAUGAGAGAUGUUUCUCUUAAUUCA